CUCUGCGUUAUUAAUAGCCCGAGGGCACUGGCUGAGAUAGAGACCCAGCAAGGACGGUGGGAAACUGACCAGAUAAGUCCUGGAGUCCCCGUCAACACUGUCACUGCCACCUGAUGAGUCCACUUAGGCAAGGACAGAGCAGUCCCCCUUUGACCUCAGGAAAAGUCCCAGUUGGUCAUGGACCUUGGAGCCCUCAGUGCCAGACAUGGACGGCUCCUCGGUGAGCUCAGACAAGGUCCCUGCCCGAGUGGGGCAGCUGCUGGGGUGUCAGGUCACCAGAGACUAGCGAGCUGCACAGGACCCUAGAGGUCACCUUGACUUCGUCACUUUGACUUCUCCAACCCAGUCCUCCAGAGAGGGAGCCUCGGAGGGACAGCCCCUCUCUGGCAGUCACGCAGGAAGUAGCAAUCUGCUGGAGAACGGAGCUGGGCUUCUCCUCCCCAAACUGCCAGACCCUCCCGGGGCACCGGGGAGCAGCGGGUGCCGGGUCUGGAGAGGCUGGGAAGGAGAGCGGGAGGCGCCGGCUGCCUCUUCCCCUCCCGGCAACACCACUGAGCACAGAAGUGCGGGUACCAGGGGCGGCGCCCCUCUUUUGCUUUGAGCGGCUUCUACCAGGGGGAGCAGGGGGAAGGAGACAAGCUCUCUCUCUCCUCCUGUGGCUCCAACGAUUUCUGGGGUUUAGCACCUGGCACUCGGAGGAAGACAGCAAGGCAAAACGGAGGCUGCAGGUCUGGGUGCUUUGGAUGUGCUCAGAGGACCCCAGAGGUGGCGGCGGAACGUGAGACAGAGUGACAAACAGAAGGUGCAGCUGGCUCCUGGGCUCCCCCUCCCUGCUCCUCUGGGACUCUGGGGUUCUGAGGCCAUCUCCCCAGCCCCCUCUGGCUGGGGCCCCAGAUUCAGAGCCCUACCGGCCCCUCCAGCACACACACACCUCAUUCUGGGGGCGUCUCCAAAGGAUCCAUCCCAAGCACAGUCAGGGGGCCAGUUCCUGCAGGACAGCAGCCUGCGGCCACCAAGCCCAGCUCAGAAGGAGCAGCUGGGGGCCACACCGAGGUGGGUUUGCCUGCGAGGUGCCCCAUGGUGCCGGGUCUUCCUGGGGGCUUCAAACCUGCUCCCCUCCCCACCUUCCCUGACACCCCCGGCUGGGGUGUGGGCGUGGCACUGGUCUGGGGCCGGGCAGGGGCACUUACGGCAGCUGGGAGGUCUUGAGGCUGUUGUAUUUCUGCAUGACCCCCUGGAACAAGCCCAUGGGGGGCCGGGCCGGGGGGUUCUCGGUCGGCGCUGAGGACCUGGAGGGAGCAGAGCAGGAAUGAAAGAGCGAAAAGUAUUCUGCAUAGGAGAAGCGGGUCAUGGCCGGAGGCAGGACAGGACGGAGGGAGAGGCUGAGUGACAGACAGACACAGGGCCCUGAACCAAAGCAGAUGGCCGGGUCCUCUCUGUGUGCUGGACACAGCUGCUGUGUCUCUGGAUUAUUUUUGGCCCUUGGAGGAAGCCCUGGGAGAUUUAAAUGACCAUAUAAGACAACAAUGAGGUUAACCUCACCCACUCCCGCCACCCCCUCCCCAGCCAACCAGCGGCAGAUAUGAAGCAAGGUGACGUUCUUCACCGGGAGGAGGUGACAAGUGGUCAGUGCAAGUCCUAGGUUGAAAGGGGCUCAGGGAGCAGGCCAGGCGGAUCCCCAUGGAGCUGGACAAGAGAUUCACGGGCAAACAGGGGGGCAGGGAGCCCACGCUGAGAAUCAGACCAGGUGUGCCCCUCACCCCGACCUUGUGGGCUCAUCCGGCAAAGACCAUGCCCAGGGUCAGGAGCUAGACGUCCAGAGGCUACAGGAGGAAGGUGCACACAGGGGAAGGUCAUUGGGGCUGGGCCGGGAGGCAGAUGAACAGGUUCAACCCUGGGCACCGUAGCCACAGAAGCUGGGACUGGAUCAUCUUCUCUGUGCCUUAUUUCCCCGCUAAUAAAGUAGCGCAAGAGUAACCCCUGUCUGGAGGACUGGCGAGGCCUGCCCUGGUGACCUGUGUGAAGUACAGGGGACGGGGCUCCCCCGGACAGCCAUUCACUUGACCAUUAUGUCACCUCUCAGAGCCUCGGUUCCCCACCACACUGGGCUGUCACAAGGGCAGGAAGGAGGUGUGGCAGCCACUCCAUGACCCGGGUUGGCCUGGGAUUGUGAGAAGGGGGUAGGGGGUCCCUGAUCACCCCUCCUGGGGGUCAGCCCUGACACCCUGGGUACCCAGCAGGGACACCUUCCUGUCUGAACACCUGGGGAAAGGGCUGUCUAUGGGACUGGGGAGGACAUCACUCCAUGAAUGGCUCCCCAUGGGCCACAGUGAUGGUGACCUCCGGAAGGGCCCAUGCUCCCCGAGGCCAGGCUAGAACCUGCAGAUUCCCUGGGCCUCUGAGCAGGGACAGGCCUUGGUGCCAGGGAGGCGGCCUGCUGGGGGUCUGCAGACCCUCCUCGUCCCGUCAUUCCUCUACCUCCUCCUCUGCCUCCUCCCAUCACUCCCACCCGCCGCACAGGCUGGGCAGGACACAUGCCAGGUUCACUCACUAACCCCAAAGGUGGGUACCAAGCGGCUGCUUCCACAGACAAGGGAGCCAAGGCUCUGAGAGUGUGGGUUACUGGCUGGGGUCACGCACAGCAGGUAGGUGGACAGAGCCAGGCUCAGGUGGGCCUGCCCUUCCCUGCCUCCCCUCCCCUGCUCCGUGGCUGCACUAACAGGCCUGGGCUGUGAAUGGGGCUCCACGGCUCUCUGUGCCUCAGUGGCAGAAUGAAGGGUGGAGCUGAAGCGCCAGAUGGAGGCUUCCUGUGCCCGCAGGACAGCAGAGAAGCUCAGUGUGUCACGCAAACCCAGAGCCACCAUCCCAGGCCAGGACCUGCAAGUUCCGGCCUGGUCCUCCCCCCACAGGGCCCUAGGGCUACUGGCCUGGAGUCGCCUGAACUUGCUGCAGACCUAGGCAGGUGACAGAGCCCUGACCCAGGCCACUUCUGCAUUCAGCAGCCCUGUGGUCUUGACAAAGCCCUGGGCUCCCUGGGUGUGCUUUCGAUUACUAAAAUGUUCUCAGCAGGAUGAGAAGCACUGAUAAAACCCUGCCACGCUAUCCUAACACUGGGACCUCUGUCUCCCUAUAACAACAGCAAGGAGAGUGGCAGCAGCGGGGAGUUGGGGUGAUGGAGGUUCUGCCUCACGGUCUCUGAUGGAGGCAGAGGUGCCUUGUUCCCGUUCUGCAGACAGGAAACCAUAAACUGAGUCCAAUUCAACAACAGCUUCCCAGCUCUGGCUUGGUCCCAAGCCUUGUGCCUGGGCUAAGUAGACAGAUCACUAAGUCACAUCUUUCUGUGGAUCCUCGAGACGAUCAGAGGCCAGCGGGGUGGAGACCAGGACAGACACAGCCACCGCACCGCAGGAGGGAUCAAGACAGGAAGGCUUUUUUGGGAAGUACUAAAACUGGGGGGCCAGGCAGGAUGGCUACCCAGAGCCCACAGACCUGUGAAUCUCAGACUGGAUGGGAGUCCAGGCCCCCAGUCGAGUUUCGUGCUCUUUUGGGCCAGGACGGGAGGCCCCGCUUCCCCCCCAGGGCAGGGGAAUUCCCAGCAGAGCUAACCGCAGGCUGAGUCAUCAAGGGUGAGAGGAGCCUGGCCUGGGCGGCGGGAUGUGGCUGCAGGUCGUGCCCUGGAAGAGGCCCAGGUGGGACCCUGUCUCCCUCCGACACUGAGCAAGCAGCAUGGCUGCAGUCUCCCUGCUGGGUCCCCAUGUGCCCCUGGGUCUUUACCCUCCAGGCCUCUGGCAGGGACCACUCAGGUGCGGGGCAGACCCGGCCCAUCGCUAGCACACAGCAAGGCAGUGGUUUGGCUGGAGUGGUUGGCGGCUGUGCACGUAUCAGCCCAAGCAAGUUCCUGCUUCAGAUUUUCCUCCUUUUUCUUAGAAAUGUAGCCUUAAAUAAAAUGAAGAAGUUUAAAGACCGCAAAGACCCAGCGUCCUGGGCCCUCUGAGUGGUCUCUUCAUGGACUUGCUUCCUGGAACGUGGACCCUGCUCACCCUGCAUGUUGGGAGCGAGGUCGGCCUCUCAGGGAGCCCUGGCGACCCGAGUUUGACAAGUGACUCCAGCACAUGUUUCAAACCUUGUCCCGCCACACUGUGGUAGGGCAGAAGCCACCUGGGAAAUGACUUUGAAAGGGAGCAUCUAUCUUGGGAGGGGGUGCUGACCCGACUUUCUUUUCUAGGAUCCCAGAGACUCCGUUCCUAUAAUUAUCACAAGAUGAUAACUACAGGCCUAAGAAUCCUUA